UGAAAAAUGAAUUGUUUUUCUGAAGCAAUUGUGAACAGAUGUGUAAUUCCCCGCUCUCAGGAAUGUGCUGGGAAUCCCUCACAUCACCUUAAAGGGGCAGAGUGCCAAGGGCAGUGUUGAUAUUCAACACCUGCGGGGCUUAGCCUCGCCCUAAAGACAGGGCAGAGAGAACCCAGGUCACCUUCACUGGCGGUUCAGGGCUUCUAAAUUUGGCCGUGGGAGCAGACUUGCUUCCUUUUGGCAAUUGAUCUGAGCAGCAGAAGCCCACUCCGAGGGUCCGAGAAUCACAUUUACAAGCCAUGGGGGUGAAGGCUGUGCUAAUUGGCCACUUGCCUCACCCCUGGCUUUUAAACAAUCCGGUGUAUUCUCUGCCUGUCAGGAAGCAGCAGGCCCAUCAAGGCUCUGGGCUCCCUCUUUGUUCUGACUUUAUGGCAUUUUAUGCCACAAUGAGAAACACUGUGUGCUCCGUGGGAGCCCAUUGUGCCAGGCUGCAAGGAUGUGGGCUCCUGCGUGGAGGGCGGGUGCUCUCCCCCCAGAAGAGGGGCUUUGUGACAGGCUGGUGGGCAAAACAAGGGGUGCCGGACACUGUUACUGGGGCAACUGCUGGCCAGUGUGGAGGCAGCUGUGGCUCCUGGGUCCCUGUCACCUGCAAGCCGGAGAAGGAUGGACUUUCUUCUGAGUAAAUUCCACACAUCAGGACUGUGUUAACCACGGCCCCCAACCCCUCCAGGCUCCUGAGCCGGCCUCAUCCCGCCUCGAGACUUGGGACCAGCUGACCGCCUCUCUAUGUAAGCCAGCGCUCAUUCCUCGAGGAAACGCCAUCUGGGAUUCCGACCACUUGUGACCUGCCUGGCCUCUAAGGCAUUUGAGUGUACAAUCUGUAAUCUCGACUGUUCCUCAGCCUGCUUUCUCCAGGCCCAUUUUGGAGUUUGGAACGGUACGUUCAGCUCUUCUCGGAGUUCUUCCUUGCAACCAAAAACAGUGCUCCAACCGGAAUCUUGGAUGAGGCCGAUUUCCUGGGGAAACAGCUUCUGGAUAAAGAAUGCUCAAAGGGUUGCAGCAGUGGGGAAGUUAAGAGACUGGGUCCAGGUGGUCAGAGAAAGAGCUGGAUUUGGAACGUGGUUCUGGGACCUUGGAGCUGUGUGAGCUUGGGCAGAUCACUUCACUUCUAGAAGCCUCAGUUUCCCUACCUAUUAAAUGAAAAUAAUACCGACUUUGCAAGGUUGUUAUCACCAUGAAUAAAGCUGCAAUGCAGGGUCUAUAAGGGGUGUAUCCUUUUGCUCAGAAGUGUCUAGUUCCCAUUCAUAGAUGUUGGGAUGGUCAUGUUGGAAACACUGCAAAGAACCUUCUGCAUUUGGGACACAAAGGCCCUCUCCCAGCUGCUCUUCCAAGGUUGAAUCACAGCCUGUUUGUACCUGCAUAGCCUCAGGUGGUUUAUUAGCAGCUCACAUGGCCUUCCAGAAAGGUUCCAGGCAUCUGGGCUAUCAAGUAUACCUGUUUUCUUGGCUAUGUGCUACCCACCACUGUGCCGGGAUGAUAAACUCACAGGAAGACGGUAGCUGGAAUGCUAAUGUGGAUUGAGUUCCCAAUGGAUAUUUUUUUAAAAUUCCCAUUUUCAACUAGGUCGCUGAUGGUUUGAAGAAUCUCACAUUUCUUCUGUGCCUGUAUGAAGCCUCAGCACACAUGGAGUUUGGGGCAAGAGUUCCGGUAUUUUCCAUGCCCCUCUGCAAGUUCUUGGGUUUACAAGGCAGUUAAACUGUGAAUAUCUGAACUAAAUCUUUCCAAGAAAAUUUGCCUGGCUCAUCCCCUCUUGGACAGUUCAGAAAUCUCGCAAAUAACCCUAGCCAGCAGGCAAUGUGGGUAAAACUGGGACAGUCCUUGAGUUGUGUGCCAGAGAGCAGCCAUUCUUGGCCCAUGCAGACAACUGGAUUUAUGUUCCAAGGUGUAAGUUGUGGUUGCGUGAAUAGUUUUCAUCCAGCUUCAGGAAAUGAAUGAAAGUUCUCCAUGGCGGCUCGUGAA